rnacentral:tRNA from 1 species
GCCGGGUUAGUUCAGUCGCGUCAGAACAGCUGGCUUACACCCAGUAUGUCGGGGGUUCGAGUCCCUCACCCGGUACCA